AGCACCUGUUUUUUGUUGAACUGGUGGACAAAGACAUAGAAGACAGGUGCAAAACUGAACCCCCUUUGCUACCCAGAAUUCAUGAUUCAUUCUGAGUUUUGAUGCAUAUAAGACAUGAUACU